rnacentral:misc_RNA from 1 species
UUGUCUGGUGCUGGUCCUCGGAACUUUGCCUCCAAUGUUGUUCGCCCGCGAGGCUUUGUUCGACCUGCAGAUAGGAAUGAUGCAGAAGAUCAACCUCCUGCAAAACGGCGGCUUUUGUCUGCUGUUGUCAAGGUGGAGGAUGGAGAGAUUGUUGAGGAUCCUGCAGUGUCAAAGGAUUUGAAGAAGAAGCAAUCAGCUGAGGAGGAAAAUGUUGGGGUUGCCAUAGAGGAUCAAAGUGAUGGAAAGCCUUACAGUCUACAGGAGAGCAGUUGGUCCAGGAGGGAUGGCAAUCAUAGACCUGGAAGAAGGGAGGCUGAACAUCCAGUGGCUGAGCCUGUGCCAAGGGUGUUGCCAAAGGACGAGGAUCCAAGUUUGGUUAGCAGAAACAAAAGAAUGUUGGGGCAACUUUUAGGUACUUUGGAGAAAUUCCGGAAAGAAGAUAUGAAACUUUCAGGGACGGAGGCAUUUAAGCAAAGGUCAAAUGCUUUGCAAAGAGCGGAGCAAAGAGCACGAGAAGAAAGUGAAAAGCUGAGGCAACAAGAGCGUGAACAAAUUGCAGAAAAGAGAAGGAGAGAUCUGAGUCUUAGAGCACGUGUUGCUGCCAAAACAGAAGAAAAGAAGUUGGAAUUGCUGUUUCUUCGGUGGAGUGAGCACCAUAAAAAACUUUGCAAUUUUAUAAGGACUAAGGCAGAGCCCCCAAUUUAUUAUUUGCCUAACAAGCCAUUGGAGGAAGAUGCAACCUUGCUUGAGCAACGCAAAGAGCAGACAUUUUCAGAAUGGAAGGCUACUAGGAGAGAGGAACUGUCUGAAUAUCAGAAGCAGAUUGCAGAGCAGUAUCUUAGCAAUGUUGAAAAGGAAUUAGAAAGGUGGCAAAAUGCAAGGAAAGCAAGGAGACCUAACAAUGAUGCAAAUUUACAGGAAACAAUGGACAAAGAAUUGGACACCCAUAGGCUUGAGCAUGGUCCCAAGACAAGAAAGAUCCCUGGUGGAAGCAACAAUGAAGAUGAGGAUGAUGUAGAAGAUAUCAAUGUUGGGGAGGACGACAUGAUGGAUGAUGUGCUGGUAGUUGAUGAUAAUGGUAGAAGGGAUGAUGAAGCAGCCAAGCCAGAAGCUGGUAGCACCAGCGCACCCCUAGAUAAUCUUGAUCAGUAAUUAUUGAAGGCAUCCAAUGAAAUCCUUCGUUCAGGUUAUUCACUUGCUAGGUUUAUCUUGUCUUCUGUAUUUGCUUGCUUUUUUUAGGUUCUCUCUCUUUUUUUUU